rnacentral:rRNA from 1 species
AAUCAACGCUGGCGGCGUGCCUCAGACAUGCAAGUCGAACGAUUAAACUUCCCUUCGGGGAAGAUAUAAAGUGGCGCACGGGUGAGUAACACGUAAGUAAUCUGCCCUCGAGUGGGGAAUAACAACCGGAAACGGUUGCUAAUACCGCAUAAUGCAGCGGCACCUAAUGGUGACAGUUGUUAAAGGAGCAAUCCGCUUGAGGAGGAGCUUGCGGCAGAUUAGCUAGUUGGUAAGGUAAUGGCUUACCAAGGCUACGAUCUGUAACCGGUCUAAGAGGACGGUCGGUCACACUGACAAUGAAUAACGGGUCAGACUCCUACGGGAGGCAGCGGUCGGGAAUUUUGGGCAAUGGGCGAAAGCCUGACCCAGCAACGCCGCGUGAAGGAUGAAGUAUUUCGGUAUGUAAACUUCGAAAGAAUGGGAAGAAUCAAUGACGGUACCAUUUAUAAGGUCCGGCUAACUACGUGCCAGCCGCCGCCGUAA